rfam:Triticum aestivum genome assembly, contig: Triticum_aestivum_CS42_TGACv1_scaffold_471081_6AL
CUAGUACUACCUCCGUCCCAAAAUAUUUGUCAUUAAAAUGGAUAAAAAAGGAAUGUAUCUAAAACUAAGAUACAUCCUCUUUUAUUUAUUUUGAUGACAAGUAUUUCCGGACGGAGGGAGCAGUAG